rnacentral:lncRNA from 10 species
UAGAAAGGCAGGAAAGGUGGGGAAAAGAUUGAGAAAUCGGAUGGUUGCCGUGUCUGUGUAGAAAGAAGUAGACAUGGGAGACUUUUCAUUUUGUUCUGUACUAAGAAAAAUUCUUCUGCCUUGGGAUCCUGUUGAUCUAUGACCUUACCCCCAACCCUGUGCUCUCUGAAACAUGUGCUGUGUCCACUCAGGGUUGAAUGGAUUAAGGGCAGUGCAAGAUGUGCUUUGUUAAACAGAUGCUUGAAGGCAGCAUGCUCGUUAAGAGUCAUCACCACUCCCUAAUCUCAAGUACCCAGGGACACAAACACUGCGGAAGGCCGCAGGGUCCUCUGCCUAGGAAAACCAGAGACCUUUGUUCACUUGUUUAGCUGCUGACCUUCCCUCCACUAUUGUCCUAUGACCCUGCCAAAUCCCCCUCUGUGAGAAACACCCAAGAAUUAUCAAUAAAAAAUAAAUAAAUAAAUAAAUAAAUUUAAAAAAAAUAAAAAAAA